UGGGGAAUUUUGGACAAUGGGCGAAAGCCUGAUCCAGCAAUGCCACGUGUGUGAAGAAGGCCUUCGGGUUGUAAAGCACUUUUGUCCGGAAAGAAAUCCUUGGCUCUAAUACAGUCGGGGGAUGACGGUACCGGAAGAAUAAGCACCGGCUAACUACGUGCCAGCAGCCGCGGUAAUACGUAGGGUGCAAGCGUUAAUCGGAAUUACUGGGCGUAAAGCGUGCGCAGGCGGUUUGCUAAGACCGAUGUGAAAUCCCCGGGCUCAACCUGGGAACUGCAUUGGUGACUGGCAGGCUAGAGUAUGGCAGAGGGGGGUAGAAUUCCACGUGUAGCAGUGAAAUGCGUAGAGAUGUGGAGGAAUACCGAUGGCGAAGGCAGCCCCCUGGGCCAAUACUGACGCUCAUGCACGAAAGCGUGGGGAGCAAACAGGAUUAGAUACCCUGGUAGUCCACGCCCUAAAACGAUGUCAACUAGUUGUUGGGGAUUCAUUUCCUUAGUAACGUAGCUAACGCGUGAAGUUGACCGCCUGGGGAGUACGGUCGCAAGAUUAAAACUUAAAUGAAUUGACGGGGUCAUAGCUGUUUCCU
rnacentral:rRNA from 1 species